rnacentral:rRNA from 1 species
GAUGAACGCUGGCGGCGUGCCUAAUACAUGCAAGUCGAGCGAACAGACGAGAAGCUUGCUCCUCUGACGUUAGCGGCGGACGGGUGAGUAACACGUGGAUAACCUACCUAUAAGACUGGGAUAACUUCGGGAAACCGGAGCUAAUACCGGAUAAUAUUUUGAACCGCAUGGUUCAAUAGUGAAAGACGGUUUUGCUGUCACUUAUAGAUGGAUCCGCGCUGCAUUAGCUAGUUGGUAAGGUAACGGCUUACCAAGGCAACGAUGCGUAGCCGACCUGAGAGGGUGAUCGGCCACACUGGAACGGAGACACGGUCCAGACUCCUACGGGAGGCAGCAGUAGGGAAUCUUCCGCAAUGGGCGAAAGCCUGACGGAGCAACGCCGCGUGAGUGAUGAAGGUCUUCGGAUCGUAAAACUCUGUUAUUAGGGAAGAACAAAUGUGUAAGUAACUGUGCACAUCUUGACGGUACCUAAUCAGAAAGCCACGGCUAACUACGUG